rnacentral:rRNA from 1 species
UACGUAGGGGGCAAGCGUUGUCCGGAAUCAUUGGGCGUAAAGAGCGUGUAGGCGGUCCGGUAAGUCGGUUGUGAAAGUCCAGGGCUCAACCCUGGGAUGCCGACCGAUACUGUCGGACUAGAGUUCGGAAGAGGCGAGUGGAAUUCCGGGUGUAGCGGUGGAAUGCGUAGAGAUCCGGAAGAACACCGGUGGCGAAGGCGGUCUGCUGGGCAAUGGCUGACACUGAGGCGCGACAGCGUGGGGAGCAGACGAGG